GACAGAGGGGGCAAGCGUUGUUCGGAAUUACUGGGCGUAAAGGGCGCGUAGGCGGCCUGCUAAGUCGAACGUGAAAUCCCCGGGCUCAACCCGGGAACUGCGUCCGAUACUGGCAGGCUUGAAUUCGGGAGAGGGAUGCGGAAUUCCAGGUGUAGCGGUGAAAUGCGUAGAUAUCUGGAGGAACACCGGUGGCGAAGGCGGCAUCCUGGACCGAAAUUGACGCUGAGGCGCGAAAGCCAGGGGAGCAAACGGG
rnacentral:rRNA from 1 species